rnacentral:rRNA from 1 species
GAUGAACGCUAGCGGCAGGCUUAACACAUGCAAGUCGAGGGGUAUAGUUCUUCGGAACUAGAGACCGGCGCACGGGUGCGUAACGCGUAUGCAAUCUACCUUUUGCAGAGGGAUAGCCCAGAGAAAUUUGGAUUAAUACCUCAUGGUAUGUGAGAAUGGCAUCAUUUUCACAUUAAAGUCACAACGGCAAAAGAUGAGCAUGCGUCCCAUUAGCUUGUUGGUAAGGUAACGGCUUACCAAGGCAACGAUGGGUAGGGGUCCUGAGAGGGAGAUCCCCCACACUGGUACUGAGACACGGACCAGACUCCGACGGGAGGCAGCAGUGAGGAAUAUUGGACAAUGGGCGCAAGCCUGAUCCAGCCAUGCCGCGUGCAGGAUGACGGUCCUAUGGAUUGUAAACUGCUUUUGUACAGGAAGAAACACUGGUUCGUGAACCAGCUUGACGGUACUGUAAGAAUAAGCACCGGCUAACUACGUGCCAGCCGCCGCCGUAAAAC